rnacentral:rRNA from 1 species
AUUGAACGCUGGCGGCAGGCCUAACACAUGCAAGUCGAGCGAGCGGCGGACGGGUGAGUAAUGUAUGGGGACUGCCCGAUAGAGGGGGCUAACUACUGGAAACGGUAGCUAAUACCGCAUACUAUCGGAUAACCCAUAUGGGAUUAGCUAGUAGGUGAGGUAAUGGCUCACCUAGGCGACGCUCCCUAGCUGGUCUGAGAGGAUGAUCAGCCACACUGGGACGGAGACACGGCCCAGACUCCUACGGAGGCAGCAGUGGGGAAUAUUGCACAAGGGGCGAAAGCCUGAUGCAGCCAUGCGGCGUGUAGGAAGAAGGCCCUAGGUUUGUAAAGUACGUUCAGUCGGGAGGCGUUACCGACAGAAGAAGCACCGGCUAACUCCGUGCCAGCAGCCGCGGUAAUUC